rnacentral:rRNA from 1 species
UACGGGAGGCAGCAGUGAGGAAUAUUGGUCAAUGGGCGAGAGCCUGAACCAGCCAAGUAGCGUGCAGGAUGACGGCCCUAUGGGUUGUAAACUGCUUUUAUAUAGGGAUAAAGUCACCCACGUGUGGGUGUUUGUAGGUACUAUAUGAAUAAGGACCGGCUAAUUCCGUGCCAGCAGCCGCGGUAAU